rnacentral:pre_miRNA from 1 species
CAAGUACUCCCUCCGUCCGAAAAUACUUGUCAUCAAAAUGGAUAAAAAGAUGUAUCUAGAACUAAUAUACAUCUAGAUACAUCCCCUUUUAUUCAUUUUGAUGACAAGUAUUUCCGGACGGAGGGUGUACUAC